rnacentral:rRNA from 1 species
GACGUAGGGCGCGAGCGUUGUCCGGAUUUAUUGGGCGUAAAGGGUGCGUAGGCGGCGGAGUAAGUUGGGUGUGAAAUCCCGGGGCUCAACCUCGGAAUUGCAUUCAAUACUGCUUCGCUCGAGUACUGGAGAGGAGACUGGAAUUUACGGUGUAGCAGUGAAAUGCGUAGAUAUCGUAAGGAAGGCCGGUGGCGAAAGCGAGUCUCUGGACAGUUACUGACGCUGAUGCACGAAGGCCAGGGGAGCAAACAGG